UAAUGCAACAUUCAGGUAUUAAAAAUAAUUUUUAGUAGUCACCAAACUUGGUUAAUGCAGUGUAAAAACUUGGUUAAUGCGGUAAUGAAGUUGGCUAAUGCAACAUACAGGUAUUAAAAUAAUUUUUAGCAGUCAUCAAACUUGGUUAAUGCAGUAGUGAAGUUGGUUAAUACACGUCCGUACAUAAACAGUGUCGUCCGUAAUUUUAUAAAUAAAAAAAUCUUUUUGAUAAAUAUUAUUAUUUUAUUUUAAAAAACACUAUUCACCGUAUAAAUACGGUGAACAGUGUUUGAUGUAAGUAUUGGUGUAUAAUAUGAAUGUAAAAAUAGCAUUACUCUUUAAAGAAACAUAUUAUAGAAGAAGCUGCAAAAUGAAAAUAACUAAAUUUAUCGGCUAAUAGUUUCCGUUCAUGAUUUCUUAGAUUUUUUUAUGUUGUUUAAAACUUUAUGUAAUACUAGUAAGUAUUAAGUUAUUAUCUAGGUUUCCAUCGUAAAAGUCAUUUGUAUUUGCAUUUGGAUAUGUAUUAUAAUGAAUGGAAUUUGAAUUGGUAUCUACUAUCUACCCAAUACUGAGAAAUUGUCCAAACUGUCCAUUUUGCCCUUCCCUUAUAAUUUCUUUACCCAUAGAAAAGGUUAAUCAUGUAAUUAACAAAAUAAAAAAAAAGAACAUGCCAAAUGUUGUGUUCUCAUUGGUCACUUUUUUCAAUUGUUGUACUUGCAUAAACCUUUUCUCUUUCUCUCUCUGCGUUUUCUCUCUCUUUCCAGUUUUCACAUUCCAACUUUUUUCUAAACCCUAGCUGCCAAAACUUUUCCCUUCUCUCCCUCUCUCCCAUUUUCUUUCUUCUCAUAUCUUUUUGUCUUCAAACCCUAGUGCUGCGGAAACUCUCUGUGAAAUGGAAGAAAAAGUGAACUCGCAAAUGCAUAAACCCAUAGCCACAAAAAUCUUCGUCUCUGAUUCUAUGGUAUGGUAGAAACUCAUCUUCAUCCCUUCCAAAUCUCUGAUUCUUUUUUCUUUUUCAGUUUUUUCAGGAUUUGUACUUCGACAUGGCUGAAAAUAACUCAAGUUUUCCAAAAAAAAUCACAGGUAGCAAACCUGACUGCACAGAUCUGAUGCUCUUAAAUGAUAUGAUGAUGUGCUUCAAGAUUUGGGUGUGAGGAAUAAUUCUCAGGUUUGUUCUGCAGAAAUGUGUAAGCAAUUUAUGUUAAGCAAUCAUUUUACAUAAAGAAGGUACUACUUUAUGUUAAGCAAUUUGUUGUUAACACCUCAAACAAAAUAUCUUUGUAAUUCUACAAUUGUAUUGUAAGAAAACUGUACUAGCAGAGUUUGUAAAUAUGUAAGCUUUGUAUUUUAUGAGUAUAGUAUGUUAGCUACCAUUUUGU